rnacentral:rRNA from 1 species
GCACAAAAUGGAUGCCUAGACAUAUACUACCGAUGAAGGACGUGGAAGGCUGCGAAAAGUCUCGGCUAGCUGUCAUCAAGCUGUGAACCGGGAAUGUCCGAAUGGGGAAACCCGCCGCGGGUCAUGCCGUGAGCAUCGUACGCUGAAUAAAAUAGGCGUAGUGAAAGGGAACCGUCUGAACUGAAACAUCUUAGUAGGGCGAGGAAAAGAGAGUAAAUAACGAUUCCGGGAGUAGUGGCGAGCGAAACUGGAAUAGCCCAAACCUUGUAUUGUUUUGUUCUCAUCAUCCGGACUGACAUAUCUACUUCGGUAGGUGAGUUGGUGUGGAUGGUGAGAACGAUAUGGCUGACAGGCUAAUGCAAUCAGGGUGUUGUGAGUCUACAGAGUUUUAAGAUCCAGCACUUCUAUACGGAGUGUUGAAUCUUAAAAGUGACGACUGUCAUCGAGCACAUAAGGUAAAAAAUCGGCGUGGUUAGCAGAACGAGUUGGAAAGCUUAGCCGGAGACUGUGAUAGCCAGGUAUGCGAAAACGACGCUGACCUUAUUCUGUAUUCUCGAGUAGGUCGGGGCACGAGAAACCCUGAUUGAAUCCGGCUGGACCACCAGCCAAGGCUAAAUAUAGUAUAUGAUCGAUAGUGAACUAGUACGGUGACGGAAAGGUGAAAAGAACCCCGGGAGGGGAGUGAAAUAGAACCUGAAAUUUUGUGCCUACAAGGAGUCGGAGCCGGGAUAAGGUAAAUCUACCUCAUCUGCUUUCCGAGAGGGAAAAGAGCAGCGAGCUUGGUUUUGCUUUAGCAAAACUCAGCUUUGCUGACGAGCGAUGAGAAAAACCGUAGGUUUGUCUCAUCCCGGUGACGGCGUGCUUUUUGUAGAACGAUCCAGCGAGUUAAUUUUUACGGCGAGGUUAAGUCAGAUGAUGAAGCCAUAGUGAAAGCGAGCAUUAACAGUGCGAUUUAGUCGUAAGGAUUAGACCCGAAACCAGGUGACCUUGA